UAAGACUGAUGGCGACCGGCGCACGGGUGCGUAACGCGUAUGCAACUUGCCUCACAGAGGGGGAUAACCCGUCGAAAGACGGACUAAUACCGCGUACACUUGGGAUAGGGCAUCCUACCCCAAGGAAAUGAAAUUCGCUGUGAGAUAGGCAUGCGUCCCAUUAGCUUGUUGGUGAGGUAACGGCUCACCAAGGCGACGAUGGGUAGGGGAACUGAGAGGUUGAACCCCCACACUGGUACUGAGACACGGACCAGACUCCUACGGGAGGCGGCAGUGAGGAAUAUCGGUCAAUGGGCGAGAGCCUGAACCAGCCAAGUCGCGUGAAGGAUGACUGUCUUAUGGAUUGUAAACUUCUUUUAUACGGGAAUAACAAGAGCCACGUGUGGCUCCCUGCAUGUACCGUAUGAAUAAGCAUCGGCUAACUCCGUGCCAGCAGCCGCGGUAAUACGGAGGAUGCGAGCGUUAUCCGGAUUUAUUGGGUUUAAAGGGUGCGUAGGCGGCCUGUUAAGUCAGCGGUGAAAUCUAGGAGCUUAACUCCUAAAUUGCCAUUGAAACUGGCGGGCUUGAGUGUAGAUGAGGUAGGCGGAAUGCGUGGUGUAGCGGUGGAAUGCAUAGAUAUCACGCAGAACUCCAAUUGCGAAGGCAGCUUACUAAGGUACAACUGACGCUGAAGCACGAAAGCGUGGGUAUCAAACAGGAUUAGAUACCCUGGUAGUCCACGCAGUAAACGAUGAUAACUGGGCGUAUGCGAUAUACAGUAUGCUCCUAAGCG
rnacentral:rRNA from 1 species